UGGGGAAUAUUGCACAAUGGGGGAAACCCUGAUGCAGCGACGCCGCGUGAGCGAUGAAGGCUUUCGAGUCGUAAAGCUCUGUCCUAUGGGAAGAUAAUGACGGUACCAUAGAAGAAAGCCCCGGCUAAUUACGUGCCAGCAGCCGCGGUAAUACGUAAGGGGCGAGCGUUGUCCGGAAUUAUUGGGCGUAAAGAGUGCGUAGGCGGCAAAUUAAGUCAGAUGUGAAAACUAAGGGCUCAACCCCUAGAUUGCAUCUGAAACUGAUAUGCUUGAGUCAAGGAGAGGAAAGUGGAAUUCCUAGUGUAGCGGUGGAAUGAGUAGAUAUUAGGAGGAAUACCGGUGGCGAAGGCGACUUGCUGGGCUUGAACUGACGCUGAGGGACGAAAGCGUGGGUAGCAAACAGG
rnacentral:rRNA from 1 species